rnacentral:rRNA from 1 species
GACGUAGGGCGCGAGCGUUGUCCGGAAUUAUUGGGCGUAAAGAGCGUGUAGGCGGUCCGGUAAGUCGGCUGUGAAAGUCAAGGGCUCAACCCUUGAAUGCCGGUUGAUACUGUCGGGCUAGAGUCCGGAAGAGGCGAGUGGAAUUCCCGGUGUAGCGGUGAAAUGCGCAGAUAUCGGGAGGAACACCAAUGGCGAAGGCAGCUCGCUGGGACGGUACUGACGCUGAGACGCGAAAGCGUGGGGAGCAAACAGG